ACAGUGAACUUGCUUCACUUAGUUGUUACAGUAAAACAGUUUAAAAAAUACCAAGCUUUAUUUUUGUGACCAUUCAAAAGACCAUCUGCGCUUAGAGGGGUGAUGCUCUGUUUUUCUGGGGCUCUUUUCACAAUUGGUGUUGCUUCGAUGGUUUUGGAUUGCACAAGUGAGGUAUCCGGUGAAAUUGCAGAAGAUCCAUGCCCAGCUUCAGCAGCUCAAAUGGACCUGCACACCUAUUUGUACCAUUGGCAUUCACAAAUUAAACAUAGCUCAACAGGAGGAGAUGGGACACUUCUUUGAAAAGGACGCCAAAUGAUGUAGAAUGCUAACACGAAUCCUCACAUGGCUUUCUUGUUAAUGUACUGUGUUGCAUGUUAUUUUCUAGUUGAGCUGUAAUGAUUGAAUAGUGAUGACAAUCAGAAUGUAAUACUUUCUCAAAGUGUUCUCACAUAGAAAUGCUCUAUUUUUAAACUUACAUCUGUGGCUUUGUUAAUCUGGUGCAUUGCUUUUCUGGGCCCUGCUGAUUUCAGUCUGGAUUUCCAACACUAUCUUCCUUCAAUAACAUGAAAAUGCAGAAUGAUUUAUUGGAUAACAUGUCUUACCCUCUGUUGGCAAAGAGCAAAGGGAUUCCAUGCUUUUAGCAGGUCGAAUGUUGCCUUUCUCUGUUUGAACACACAAGAAAAAGAAUGGGGAUAUGAGAAAAAUAUGUUUGGAAUAACAAAACUGAGGUGAGAAUCAUAAGAUUAUAAGCUAAUAAAGCUAUUCAGGCAUUAUACACUGAAAAAA